AUUGUGGUUAGGUGGCUAGUGGAUAUGGGACCACUAGUUGUAAUUAUUAUUAUUUAUUAUUUAAAAAAAAACGGGUCAUGUCGUUUCAACAUCACGGAAGGUAAAAGAACUUGCUCCAUAUUUAAAAAUUUUGGGUAAAAAACCAAUGAUCACAAACCUGUGUGUUUCUGAGGUUGUGAAGGGUCUGGGAAAGACCUUGGUUGGUGCAUAUCCAGGACGAGCAAUGAGCUUCAUCACCAAAAAAACGAACCUAGAGUCUACAACUGUGAUCAGCUACCCAAGUAAGAAGAUAGCUGUGUAUUUUAAAACCUCAAUCAUAUUCCGGUCAGACUAAAACAAUGCGGAUCUCGAGGGAAACGCAGGGGCUGGACUUUUACAAUAAUGGACAAAGCCUUUCAAAUGCGGCUGUUCUCAACAAUUGCAGAAGCUGUAAAUGGUGAUAGAGACGCUCUAUGGUUCUCCUCAAGAUAUCGUCCAAGCUAGACCCCAAGUUUAAAGCUCUCUCUUGCUAUUUCUGUGUCCCAUUCCCUAAGUUUUCAAACAAAUCUUAUAAUCACUCCUGAUAGAAACAUUGACUCAUAUUAAACGAUUGUGUGGGGGUUGUAUAAUUUAAUCUUUAAAACGGCAUCGUAUAAAAGAGGACAUUAAACGUACCCGUACAAACAUAUAUAUUUUUUAAAAAACUAAAAAAAUGAAUUUUAGUAUUUAUUCUU